GUCGUACAUAUGUAUGUACCAGCUACGGCUUCGUUAUUAUCAACGUCAACCAGCCUUCAACUCAAAAAUUACCACACGCCCAAACUCAUGAAAGCAUAAGGCUUCUAUUCCAAUCGAAGUUCACCAUUUCCUUCCCUCCGAGAUGCGUGACUUCCUCUGGGAGCAGUGUCAAGGGGCUACCUCUUCUGGCGAUUGCCUUCAACAGGUCAGAGUUUUAAAUGAUCUGUUGUCCUCUCUCAGCAUCUUUUCAUCUUCUCCAAACGCUGUUCUCUUCCGGCAUUGGCCUGACGACCUUAUCUACGGGGACCCCAGACCAUUUGAGGACUCUAACCUGUUGAAGGCUAUCACCAGGAGAAGUAGCCCCUUGACAAGCAGAAACCUGUUUCUUAGGUCAUGUUGAUCCAUAAGAUGCGCUGUAAGUUUUUUUGUACAUUCAUCAUAAACUGGCAAUGUCUCUUCUCCAAUUAAUUGCACGUUCUUUGACUGGCGAGUGAGAGGAAAUAUCGCUCUGUCGAUUUUGAGGUCCUGAGGGGGGAUAUCUCCCGCAAAAUGGUGAUGAACAUAAGGCCAUUCAUAGUUAGCAGCAGACUCGCCUGAUGUUUAAUUUUACUGUGGAUUAAUGUACAAGCCUGACUG
rnacentral:sRNA from 1 species